UCUCAAGGAAACAGUGGAUAAAAUAAACUGAGGACAACUAACAGUCUCUGAUACUUCCACUCUCAGCUGUUUGCAGUGGCCUGUAGUGAAGUGGCUCUUUCUGCCCUUGCUGUGCGUCUCACUCCAGGACCUCCUGAAGAGCGCUGAUCCUGCACUAUACAUGUGGUUCUUCUCCUAUGCCUCCCGACUUGUCAGAGAAUUUCUUGAGGACAUGGAUGACUGUCUGGCAGCGACAGUUCCAGGAUGCCAGUGUCUCUACAUCGUGACAACUUUGAAUGUGACCAUUGUAUCACCUACUAAGUCCGGCAGAACUAGAAAUUAUGGCUGAAGUUCCAGAAAGUUCCAGAAAGCACAUUUGGCCUUAUAAUAGAUAAUUACUAACUGCAAGAGCUGUGCAUUUACUAAAUGAUAUGCUCUGCCAAGGAGCGAGUUCCCCAUCACAGAGAGCAGCAGAAGCCAUCAUCAGGAAUGCUGCGUGUGGAUUUCUGAGUUGAGUAUGCGGUUAAAACACAAGACGCUAGGUUUAGUCCAAUCUUAAAAUUCUACGAUUUUAAUCUUUUAAAAAUAGUGUUUGCAUAGUAUUUUUAAGUUUUUGAUGAACCUCACAUACAUGAUCUCAUUGAUUCUUUUUUAAAAAAUGGAGGUCACUUUUUCUUGGCUUAAACAAAUGAAAAUAAAUAUAAACAAUAUAGACUUCUGAAGAAGGAUGGCAGAAUAAAGGCAAAAUAAAGACUCUCCUCCUCCAACAUCUAAAAUAUGAAUAAAAAUAAUAAAAAUCAGC
rnacentral:lncRNA from 10 species